rnacentral:rRNA from 1 species
AACGUAGGAGACAAACGUUAUCCGGAGUUACUGGGCGUAAAGGGCGUGCAGGCGGUUUUUUAAGUUCGUCGUGAAAUCGCCCGGAUUAACCGGGCGGGGUCGAUGGAUACUGGGAGGCUUGAGGGCGGUAGAGGCGUGUGGAAUUCCGGGUGUAGUGGUGAAAUGCGUAGAUAUCCGGAGGAACACCAGUGGCGAAGGCGACACGCUGGGCCGUACCUGACGCUAAGACGCGACAGCAUGGGGAGCGAACGGG